rnacentral:rRNA from 1 species
ACGGAGGAUGCAAGUGUUAUCCGGAAUCACUGGGCGUAAAGCGUCUGUAGGUGGCUCGACAAGUCAACUGUUAAAUCUUGAAGCUCAACUUCAAAAUCGCAGUCGAAACUAUCGGACUAGAGUAUAGUAGAGGUAAAGGGAAUUUCCAGUGGAGCGGUGAAAUGCGUAGAGAUUGGAAAGAACACCGAUGGCGAAGGCACUUUACUGGGCUAUUACUGACACUCAGAGACGAAAGCUAGGGUAGCAAAUGGGAUUAGAUACCCCAGUAGUCCUAGCCGUAAACAAUGGAUACUAGGUGUUGAACAGAUCGACCUGUGCAGUACCAAAGCUAACGCGUUAAGUAUCCCGCCUGGGAAGUAUGCACGCAAGUGUG